CCUACGGGGGGCAGCAGUGGGGAAUAUUGCACAAUGGGCGAAAGCCUGAUGCAGCAACGCCGCGUGAGGGACGACGGCCUUCGGGUUGUAAACCUCUUUUAGUUGGGAAGAAGGGAGCUUGCUCUUGACGGUACCAGCAGAAAAAGCACCGGCUAACUACGUGCCAGCAGCCGCGGUAAUACGUAGGGUGCAAGCGUUGUCCGGAAUUAUUGGGCGUAAAGAGCUCGUAGGCGGUUUGUCGCGUCUGCUGUGAAAUCUGGGGGCUCAACCCCCAGCCUGCAGUGGGUACGGGCAGACUAGAGUGCGGUAGGGGAGAUUGGAAUUCCUGGUGUAGCGGUGGAAUGCGCAGAUAUCAGGAGGAACACCGAUGGCGAAGGCAGAUCUCUGGGCCGUUACUGACGCUGAGGAGCGAAAGCAUGGGGAGCGAACAGG
rnacentral:rRNA from 1 species